rnacentral:rRNA from 1 species
GACGAACGCUGGCGGCGUGCUUAACACAUGCAAGUCGAACGGAAAGGCCCUGCUUUUGUGGGGUGCUCGAGUGGCGAACGGGUGAGUAACACGUGAGUAACCUGCCCUUGACUUUGGGAUAACUUCAGGAAACUGGGGCUAAUACCGGAUAGGAGCUCCUGCUGCAUGGUGGGGGUUGGAAAGUUUCGGCGGUUGGGGAUGGACUCGCGGCUUAUCAGCUUGUUGGUGGGGUAGUGGCUUACCAAGGCUUUGACGGGUAGCCGGCCUGAGAGGGUGACCGGCCCCAUUGGGCCUGGGAUACGGCCCAGACCCCUACGGGAGGCAGCAGUGGGGAAUAUUGCACAAUGGGCGGAAGCCUGAUGCAGCAACGCCGCGUGCGGGAUGACGGCCUUCGGGUUGUAAACCGCUUUCGCCUGUGACGAAGCGUGAGUGACGGUAAUGGGUAAAGAAGCACCGGCUAACUACGUG